rnacentral:rRNA from 1 species
GACGAACGCUGGCGGCGUGCUUAACACAUGCAAGUCGAACGGACAGGCCCUGCUUUUGUUGGGUGCUCGAGUGGCGAACGGGUGAGUAACACGUGAGUAACCUGCCCUUGACUUUGGGAUAACUUCAGGAAACUGGGGCUAAUACCGGAUAGGAGCUCCUGCUGCAUGGUGGGGGUUGGAAAGUUUCGGCGGUUGGGGAUGUACUCGCGGCUUAUCAGCUUGUUGGUGGGGUAGGGGCUUACCAAGGGUUUGACGGGUAGCCGGCAUGAGGGGGUGACCGGCCACAAGGGGACUGAGGGACGGCCCAGACUCCUACGGGAGGCAAUAGUGGGGAAUAUUGCACAAUGGGCGGAAGCCAGAUGCAGCAACGCCGCGUGCGGGAUGCCGGGCUUUGGGGUGUAAACCGCUUUCGGCGGUGACGAAGCGUGAGUGACGGUAAUGGGUAAAGAAGCACCGGCUAACUACGUG